UAGGGAAUUUUCGUCAAUGGGCGCAAGCCUGAACGAGCAAUGCCGCGUGAACGAGGAAGGUCUUCGGAUCGUAAAGUUCUGUUGAAGGGGAAAAAGAGCGGAGAGAGGAAAUGCUUUCCGAUUGAUAUUACCCUUCGAGGAAGUCACGGCUAACUACGUGCC
rnacentral:rRNA from 1 species